GACGAACGCUGGCGGCGUGCUUAACACAUGCAAGUCGAGCGAUGAAGCUCCUUCGGGAGUGGAUUAGCGGCGGACGGGUGAGUAACACGUGGGUAACCUGCCUCAUAGAGGGGAAUAGCCUUUCGAAAGGAAGAUUAAUACCGCAUAAGAUUGUAGUACCGCAUGGUACAGCAAUUAAAGGAGUAAUCCGCUAUGAGAUGGACCCGCGUCGCAUUAGCUAGUUGGUGAGGUAACGGCUCACCAAGGCGACGAUGCGUAGCCGACCUGAGAGGGUGAUCGGCCACAUUGGGACUGAGACACGGCCCAGACUCCUACGGGAGGCAGCAGUGGGGAAUAUUGCACAAUGGGGGAAACCCUGAUGCAGCAACGCCGCGUGAGUGAUGACGGUCUUCGGAUUGUAAAGCUCUGUCUUUAGGGACGAUAAUGACGGUACCUAAGGAGGAAG
rnacentral:rRNA from 1 species